rnacentral:misc_RNA from 1 species
AUGGCAAGCACGUCAGGGGCGCUUGUCGACGACAACGUCCUCGAAGUGCUCCGCAAAGCACAGUUGGACGCAUUUAUUAGUCAGUUUGUCUUCUUAUUCAACGUCAGAAGGUUUGAUCACUUUUCACAUGUUCGAGAUAAAGAUAUGCUGGAAAUUGGUAUGCAACAAGUUCAAAUUCGGCAGCUCCGAGAGCAGAUUCUCAAAAUGUCCAGAGAAAUGUGGAAUCGGAGUGAUCCGAAGCAAGUGUACAUUCAAGCCGAUCAGUCGAUGCCAGCACAAAAUUCGAUUGACGAGAAAGCACUGAUUCCAAAUGAGCAGACGUUGCACCGGUCCAACAGCGACCGAUCUCAUCGGCAUCUAUUCCAGCGCUCCAACCACAACCCAUUCAACACAUUCAGAAGCCUAUCCAACCGCAACAAGUUCGUAUACCGCCAUCAACAGCUCCCGUUCAGAAACCAGUUCAAGUCUCAGCUCCUACCCAUAGUAAUGUGGCACCCACAACUUCAUCUCAAGCGUCUGCAGAUGCACGCAAUCCGCUACCUCCAAAAACAAGCCCACCAGUUAGCAACACGCCUAUCACAGUUGCUCCUGUUCACGCGGCACCAACUACUUCGGCACCAUCAACUUCGGUGGUAACGAGAAGGCCAACUUCAACCACAGCUCAAAUGUCGGACGAGGAGAGACGGUCAAGAAUUGCCAUGGACAUCAGCUCUGCACUUCCAGCUCCCAGUGCUUUGCUCUAUGGAUCUAACUCCACAUCAUCACUUCCGUCAGCGGCAGUGUCUACAGCGUCUUCUGUGCCAUCAACUGCAAGAGACAAUCCAGUGGAAACAAGACCAUCUCAACCUCAUGUUACCAUGCCACCCAAAAAAUCUUCUGAGCCGAUUCUCUCGUCUGAGGUGCUCCAACCAACUCGUCUGCCAUCUGCCACAACUUCGCAGGCAAAACCAGUGACUCAACCAAUCCGUCACCCAUCACCUCCGGUAGCCACUGUUAUACCGACUGCAGUGGUUGACAAAAAGCCAGUUUCACAAAAUCAAGGAAGCAACGUUCCUUUGUUUAACAUUACCAACUCCAGCAACGGGUACCCUCAGUUAAAUGGAUAUCCAAACUAUGGAAACGGUUUUCAGGCGUAUGGUUAUGGAAUGAACUAUCAUCAAGGAUAUCCUGGAUAUCAAGGAUACAAUUCAUAUGGCAACGGAAUGGGGCAGCUUGCACUGACCCACAACGCCGUCACUUCUUUGCCACCGUUGGUUCCAUCAGAGAACAGAUUCUCCGGAACAGCCCAACCACUUGGCGAGUCUGACAUUAUGGAGUUUUUGGGAACACAGCAACGUCAAGCGGGUUCUUCAUCGCGAGCAGUUCCACCUGCAUCUGCAUCCACGUCAGCAGCUUCUGGAAUCACGGAUUUGAGUAUGGCAGAUAAGAUGGAGGUGUUGUAUAGAGAAGCUGAUUUUACGCAUAAAGGAAAUUGUGAUACCAUGGUUUCUCAGUGCAACGGAAACACCGAACAGGCGUUGAAGCUUCUCAAACAACAACACUUGGUGGAUAUGGAACUUGCAAUGUCAACGGAGACCGCCCGACAAGCACUCGAGGCCAGACAGUAUGAUCUCCCUGCAGCCGCCAACAUGUUGCUCGGCUGA